rnacentral:tRNA from 1 species
GCCGGGGUCGCAUAAUCUGGUAUUGCGCGGGGCUUGAGACCCCGUUUCCUUCGGGAUAUCUUGAAGGCUGGCUUCAAGAAGUCGGUCCUUUUGGACUCGAAAUGUCGGUUCAAAUCCGGCCCCCGGCG